rnacentral:rRNA from 1 species
UACGAAGGGGGCAAGCGUUGUUCGGAAUUACUGGGCGUAAAGGGCGCGUAGGCGGCUUACCAAGUCAGGCGUGAAAUUCCUGGGCUCAACCUGGGGACUGCGCUUGAGACGUGUGGGCUUGAGUGGGGAAGAGGGUCGUGGAAUUCCCAGUGUAGAGGUGAAAUGCGCAGAUAUCGGGAGGAACACCAAUGGCGAAGGCAGCUCGCUGGGACGUUACUGACGCUGAGACGCGAAAGCGUGGGGAGCAAACAGG